rnacentral:ncRNA from 1 species
UAAAAAACGUAGGAAAGACAAGUAAGUUAAGUCAACCUGUCAGUGAGUUGGGAAAUGGUGUGAACCCAAUCAGUGUUUGGCUUUUCUGAAUAACACUUUCUCAGUUGCGGGCUGAACCAGUAUGAAGUAAGCCUCGCCGUCACCGAAACGUUACCAUCGGAGCGUAUGUUUGUACGUGUGAGGUGGCUUAUCUACGGAUAGGCAACUUGGGUGGUACCGCGAAAUGAAGUCUUUCGUCCCUUGA